GAUAAACGCUGGCGGCGUGCCUAACACAUGCAAGUCGAACGCCCUUUUGCGCAAGUGAGAGGGAGUGGCGGACGGGUGAGUACCACGUGGGUACCUACCUUGAGGUGAGGAAUACCACCGAGAAAUCGGUGACAAGACCGCAUACGCUUGGCAACAAGCAAAGUCUCGCAAGAGACGCCACAAGAUGGGCCUGCGCCUGAUUAGCUAGUUGGUGAGGUAAUGGCUCACCAAGGCGACGAUCAGUAGCUGGUCUGAGAGGAUGAUCAGCCACACUGGGAUUGAGAACGGCCCAGACUCCUACGGGGGCAGC
rnacentral:rRNA from 1 species